rnacentral:snoRNA from 1 species
AGUGUGCAAGUGUGAUGAAUCAAUUAUGUGAAAGAAGAGAAGCGUCUCUUAUGAAUUUCAUUUUAAGCUUAUUAAUAUUCUGACUUGCUAUU